UACGGGGGGGGCAAGCGUUGUUCGGAAUUACUGGGCGUAAAGGGCUCGUAGGCGGCCAACUAAGUCAGACGUGAAAUCCCUCGGCUUAACCGGGGAACUGCAUCUGAUACUGGAUGGCUUGAGUUCGGGAGAGGGAUGCGGAAUUCCAGGUGUAGCGGUGAAAUGCGUAGAUAUCUGGAGGAACACCGGUGGCGAAGGCGCAGCAUCCUGGACCGACACUGACGCUGAGGCAGCGAAAGCGUGGGGAGCAAACAGG
rnacentral:rRNA from 1 species